GACGAACGCUGGCGGCGUGCUUAACACAUGCAAGUCGAACGGAAAGGCCCUGCUUUUGUGGGGUGCUCGAGUGGCGAACGGGUGAGUAACACGUGAGUAACCUGCCCUUGACUUUGGUGUAACUUCAGGAAACUGGGGCUAAUACCGGAUCGGAGCUCCUGCUGCAUGGUGGGGGUUGGAAAGUUUCGGCGGUUGGGGAUGGACUCGCGGCUUAUCAGCUUGUUGGUGGGGUAGUGGCUUACCAAGGCUUUGACGGGUAGCCGGCCUGAGAGGGUGACCGGCCACAUUGGGACUGAGAUACGGCCCAGACUCCUACGGGAGGCAGCAGUGGGGAAUAUGGCACAAUGGGCGGAAGCCUGAUGCAGCAACGCCGCGUGCGGGAUGACGGCCUUCGGGUUGUAAACCGCUUUCGCCUGUGACGAAGCGUGAGUGACGGUAAUGGGUAAAGAAGCACCGGCUAACUACGUG
rnacentral:rRNA from 1 species